AUACGGAGGAUGCGAGCGUUAUCCGGAUUUAUUGGGUUUAAAGGGUGCGUAGGCUGUGCGUUAAGUCAGGGGUGAAAUGCCGUCGCUCAACGACGGAGCUGCCCUUGAUACUGGCGUGCUGGAGUACGGAUGCCGUUGGAGGAAUGAGUGGUGCAGCGGUGAAAUGCUUAGAUAUCACUCAGAACACCGAUUGCGAAGGCAUCUGACGAAUCCGUCACUGACGCUGAGGCACGAAAGCGUAGGGAUAGAACAGGAUUAGAUACCCUGGUAUUCCACGCCGUAAACGAUGAUGACUAACCGUCGGCGAUAGACAGCCGGUGGCCAAGCGAAAGCGAUAAGUCAUCCACCUGGGGAGUACGGCGGCAACGAUGAAACUCAAAUGAAUUGGCGGGG
rnacentral:rRNA from 1 species